UCUGUCAUAUUGUCUCAGAAUGAUUUAUCCUGGAAGCGGAGAGGAACAUGGGACCAGAGUUAAUCCACUCAUUCUGUAGCUGGAGGCGAUUUGAUAUAGGAGGAGGAGUUUCAGGCUCUGACAGGCUUUCUUCUUUCUUGCUUCUCUGGACUCGAGCCGAAGAACCAGACCAACACUGACCGUUCUCACCAAGCAAAAGCAUGCAGGGCCUCAGAAAGUGAAAUCAGAGCCCAGUUUCACAGUGUGGUGUCCAGUAUUUUGAGACAAAGGCUCUUGAGAGAGGAAGUCUCUGCACAUUUUCACCAAUAUCACACAAGAAAAUCUAACCUGAAAGAACCUUUUUCUUAAAGUACCUCUGCAGUCCUGGAGUCUACAUCUUCACACUUACGCCACGAGGAACAUUUUCUCCUGCGCUGUGUUCGGAUCCGGUGCGUCUCUCCUCACUGCAGACUGCAGCUGAACCCAAUUACAACCUUGUGUACGGGCAAAGGCAGCGCCUGAAUAUCGAUGGAGAACACAGGACACAGGACACAGCACAGAGGACACAGGACAGAG